rnacentral:rRNA from 1 species
UACGUAGGGAGCAAGCGUUGUCCGGAAUUACUGGGCGUAAAGGGCGCGUAGGCGGGAAUUUAAGUUAGAUGUGAAAACUCUGGGCUCAACCCGGGGACUGCAUUUAAAACUGGAUUUCUUGAGGGCAGGAGAGGAAAGUGGAAUUCCUAGUGUAGCGGUGAAAUGCGUAGAUAUUAGGAGGAACAUCAGUGGCGAAGGCGACUUUCUGGACUGUACCUGACGUUGAUGCGCGAAAGCGUGGGGAGCAAACGGG